rnacentral:rRNA from 1 species
UACAGAGGGUGCGAGCGUUGUUCGGAAUUACUGGGCGUAAAGCGCGUGUAGGCGGCCAGGCAAGUCGGAUGUGAAAGCCCUGGGCUUAACCCAGGAAGUGCAUUCGAAACUGCCAGGCUCGAGUACGGGAGAGGGAGGUGGAAUUCCCAGUGUAGAGGUGAAAUUCGUAGAUAUUGGGAGGAACACCGGUGGCGAAAGCGACCUCCUGGACCGAUACUGACGCUGAGACGCGAAAGCGUGGGGAGCAAACAGGAUUAGAAACCCGCGUAGUCC